UACGGAGGAUCCAAGCGUUAUCCGGAUUUAUUGGGUUUAAAGGGUGCGUAGGCGGCCUAUUAAGUCAGGGGUGAAAGACGGUAGCUUAACUAUCGCAGUGCCUUUGAUACUGAUAGGCUUGAAUGUACUUGAGGUAGGCGGAAUGUGACAAGUAGCGGUGAAAUGCAUAGAUAUGUCACAGAACACCAAUUGCGAAGGCAGCUUACUAAGUAUGAUUGACGCUGAGGCACGAAAGCGUGGGGAUCAAACAGG
rnacentral:rRNA from 1 species